rnacentral:rRNA from 1 species
AUUGAACGCUGGCGGCAGGCUUAACACAUGCAAGUCGAACGAGUGGCGGACGGGUGAGUAAUGCUUGGGAAUCUGGCUUAUGGAGGGGGAUAACUACGGGAAACUGUAGCUAAUACCGCGUACCAUAGGAUGAGCCCAAAUGGGAUUAGGUAGUUGGUGGGGUAAUGGCUCACCAAGCCGACGAUCUCUAGCUGGUCUGAGAGGAUGACCAGCCACACUGGGACUGAGACACGGCCCAGACUCCUACGGGAGGCAGCAGUGGGGAAUAUUGCGCAAUGGGCGCAACCUGAUGCAGCCAUGCCGCGUGAAUGAAGAAGGCCUUCGGGUUGUAAAGUUCUUUCGGUAGCGAGGCGUUACCUGCAGAAGAAGCACCGGCUAACUCCGUGCCAGCAGCCGCGGUAAUUC